ACAGGGGAAGAGAGAAACACCGAAGGCGGAUGGAGAGGAGGGGCUGCAGCACAGCCUGGGCUUUCACUCUCUCCGGCCAUCCAGCCAAGAUAAAUAAGCCCCCCUACUCCCUAUGAAUUCUGCACCCUCCACCCCAGAGCCCCACUGUCAAGGUACCUGUAAGCUGGGGGUGGGAGGGGAUCUCUUCUUUGAUGUAUUUUGGCUCAAGGUCCAAACACCUUUCAAAAAAACACCAAAACUAUGUCAAGUUCACAUACUUUCAGAACCGCUGACCCGGUCGGUCCGUUUCCAAACCUCUCCAUUAAAGCUCCCUAUAAAACCCCAGCGUUGUGAUUCCCAAAACUAAGGCAGCUUCUGAUAGGAAGGUUUUGGCAGUUGACGAUUCCUAAUGAGAUCUGUUAAAAUAGAGGCGAGGAGCGGGCCGGCAGGUGCUCCUCUGGCCGGCAUCGGGGCUUCUCUCCUUGCCCAAGAGCACUGGAGGGGCCUUGAGAAGCCAUAGGUCCCACCUCGGAGACAACAAGACCCUCUAGCUGCAAGCCCCCUUGUUCUGCCCCCCCUGGUGAAACGGGAAAGCUCCCGGAGAGAAAGGGAGGGAGGGAGCCAUGGCCGAGCAUCCGAGGAUCGAGGAAGAGGAGAGAGAUGAAGGACUCCCCUCCCUGGGGCGCACCAGCGCGCUCUUCUCUGCGCACCUGCGCUUUCCUGAAGAUGCGCGUCCUUUCCUCCCCAUCCCCGCUUCCAUCCUCGUCCAGGUGCUGCACGCGACCGUGGUGACCCUGACCCCCGACGGACUGCCGGGGCCUGGGAGUGGAGCCAUUCCCAGGGGCGACCGCCUCAGCGCGGCUGAGAGACGCUGGGUCCUCGAGAUUUUGCCACGGGCCUCAACCUCCCCCGAGACCCUCUUCGUCUGCGCCAGGCCAGUUAAGGCACGGGUCUGGGGAAGGCCGGAGACUUCUCGUCUCCAUGGGACCCGAGCUCCCUGCGCGUCCCAGUCGGGGUCCUCGCCUGCUACCCAGAAGCAAGUCUGGAAAAGUCUAGACCUUGAUGAGCACCCUCGCAGUCGCUGAGACCAGCCACUGAGCGUGGACGCCGGGCUGGGAUGCCGCAUCCGGGGAUCGCGGGCCAGCGGGCCUGCCCGGACCAGCGUCUCUGCCCGCGCCGCCCGCCCGAUGCGCUCGGCCCUCUCCGGGGUCACUGGGCUCGGCAGCGCGAGGGAAGAACACGGACAAGACCAGAAAGGAGACGCUGCGGCCUCCGCGCUGCUCUCCGGCUGGGCUGGCUCGUCCGGGGGAAGGAAAGGCAAGGUCGUCUCCGGCCGAGGACGGGAGACCUGCCCGACGCGGCGCUCGCCCUGCCCCGGCCGGGCCUGGACGGCGCGCGGGCGAAGGGCACCCCGGACGGACCCCGGCAGGCAAACGCCGGCCGCUGGAGGGAUCGAGGCCCCCUUGAGCACCUGGGAGAGCGGAGGCCUCGCCCCUGUGCGGGGAAAUUAUAACCCCAUCCUCCUGGGGCCUGCAGGGGGACUUCGAUAGUCCUUUGAGCAAACCGGUCCCCAUCUGGCUCCUCCAGAGCUGGGCAUAGGUUGCAGUCUUCAUUUCCCACUUGCUGGAGGUAUGCCUUUGGGCUAGUUUACGACUCUCCGUACCUCAGUUUCCUCCUUUAUAAACUGGAGAGGAUGAUAUUACUACCUGAAUAGAUAACUGUAAAGAUGGAGAGCUCAGAGCCGUGCCCAGAGCAAGCCCUCCUGUACACUGGUUGUCUACUCCUUAUCAUCCUUGCCUUGGCUUUUGGAGGAAAGGGACCCUCAUCACUGACUUUCUCUCUCCCUUCCUCCCUCCCGCUGUCUCUCUCCUCCAGCCUCCCUCUCCUUAUCUCUUUCCUUCUCUCUAUUCCUAUCUCGCUCUGUAGACCGGCAACAUCUGAGUGAAAUGUGAGAAAUAUUUAAAAUAAAUCCGUUCGUUUUCCUAUGUCAGUCCCACCACUGGGGUUG
rnacentral:lncRNA from 1 species